rnacentral:lncRNA from 1 species
AUUACAUUAUUUAAUACUAUGAGUAUUUUGGUAAAUUGAUUUUCAUUCCCAUUCCUCGUUCCCAUUUAUUUUGCUAAGUAAACACAUCAAUGAUAUUCUAGCACAUUCUCAUUCCUAUUUAUUUUUUCCAAGUAAAUAUUAAAAUUUCAUUCUCAUUCCUUAUUCUUAUUUCCAGUCAAUUCUCAUUCCAUGAAGUAAACACACCAUUAUUGUGAAAUGCAAUAUUUAAAAUACUCUUUAAACUAUAAUAAAUUUUAACUUGUUGUCAUUUUGAUAAAAAAUUUGAAGAUUAUCAUCUCAUGAUAUGAAAUUAACCCUUUGAGAAAAAUUAUUUCUUACUCAUUUAAUCUAUAGAGAUUAUAGGUGUUAAUUAUUUUGAUAGAUAAAUCUCGAAUGAAACUUGCGCUGACUGCUACAGUAGUAGAUUUUAGAAUUCAACCAUAAAUGAAAUCUAAAAAGUUUUUGUUCUUCUAAAAAGAUGUAGAUGAAAGUGAUAAAUGCCCAAGGGAUCAUUUCCUUGUAUUGAACUACAAAAAGUUCAAUAUUCAUACAUUCAUAAUUCAAUACUCUAAUGUUGUUAUCUCUAGGGCAUGAUCGGUUAGGGAGAGUGUUAAGCACGCAACAUAUAAGUAGCGUGGAUUGAAUGAAGAUCGAAACUUGAAAGCUUGUACGUACGUCUUCAUCAUUCUUGUUUGUUGUAUAUGCAAUGCAAAGCAUCGUCACGAAACCCAAACCCUAUCCCUCGGGGGUGUGGUCACGUGCGACAACCUUUGGAUUCUGCUCUUCUCUGUUUUCACCCUCACGCCCCCCAUGUGCCAUUACUCCCAGAAACCCCAUCGUUUUCGCAUUAAAUUUCGAGAAUUGCCACUUCUCUUCUCUGCUCUUGUCUCUUCCUUUGUAUUUUUAUUAGUAAAAAAGAAAAUAACGGCUACUUGUUCUAAGUCGUCUCUCUGUCUGGUCUUCUGGUGCGCAAAAGUGGCCACAAACAAAACGCCACACACGGAUGGUGGUGAUUUGGUAUUCCCGAUGGCCUUCCCUCCCCCCCCCCCCACCACACACACACACACUCUAUUUUAUAUAUUGUGCUUUUUGUAAUUUUGCCUUGCCUCAUCAUUUUGCAUUUGCUUUGUAUCCAAAUUAUGAUCUGCCCACGUUUACAUGUCACAUAAAUCAUUCGAGUAAUUAUCUUAAGUAAUUAUAGAAUUAAAAUUACUCAAUUAUCAACCUUUUUUUUUCAUUAUUACAUACCAUUUAUGACAAGUCUGAUGGAAAUCAGCACAAAAAUAACGAGUUGAGCCCGAAAAUCAAUUAGGAGAUUAUAAAAAUCAACCCACGGGAGAAUUAGUUACCUUAUGUUAUGAUUUCUUUAAUUUCACCUUCCUAUUGAUUUGGGGAAAUUAUAUAAGAAUUCACAAAAGAUGUGCAACACACAAUAUUUUCAUGAAUUUGCUUUCUUUUUCCAUAACUUUACUGGAAAAAGGAAAAUGAAAUAAAUAAAUAAAAAAGUCUCUUUUUCUUUGACUUUACACACUUUUAAUCCAAGAUCAAAAUUAACCAACUGAUAUCUACGGACUACGUGUGCGCAUACACCAGUCCACAUUGCCCCUAACUUUUAUACACGAGUGAGCAUUACCUCUUUGUCACCACUUGGGAAAGCUAUGUGAUCGUUGGUCAUGCUGUAUGCUACUGCAGCAAGAGAUCAAACAAACCUAUCACUAUUCACUAGCAAGCAGAUAGGGAUCCUGCUAUUUACUUUUGCAAUUUAAAACUCACACAUUUGCACUUCAUAUUCCGUUUCUAAUUGCUUUUUAUUAAGAAAAAUCAUUUUCACAAGGUUGGAUUUUUUUAAUUACAUUAUAAUUUAGGGUUAAAAGUCUACCAGAACUUUCUAAAUUAGUUAUGUAGUAGCAGUUUGAAUACCUAAACUCGAAAUAAAUUGAUCGAUUUUUUAAAUUACGUUAUAAUCUAGAAUUGAAAAUCUACGGCAUCACACUUCUUGAAUCAAUUAGUAGCAAUCUCAAUACCUAAAUUCAAAACAUAUAAAAUCUACUUACGAAAAAUAAAUAAUUACGAAAAAAAAGUAUAAAUAAUAAAUUUAUCUCAUAUUUGUUUUAUAUUUAUCUGGACAUGUACUUUAAUAAUG